UGGGGAAUAUUGGACAAUGGGCGAAAGCCUGAUCCAGCCAUGCCGCGUGUGUGAAGAAGGUCUUCGGAUUGUAAAGCACUUUAAGUUGGGAGGAAGGGCAGUAAGCGAAUACCUUGCUGUUUUGACGUUACCGACAGAAUAAGCACCGGCUAACUCCGUGCCAGCAGCCGCGGUAAUACAGAGGGUGCAAGCGUUAAUCGGAAUUACUGGGCGUAAAGCGCGCGUAGGUGGUUCGUUAAGUUGAAUGUGAAAGCCCCGGGCUCAACCUGGGAACUGCAUCCAAAACUGGCGAGCUAGAGUAGGGCAGAGGGUGGUGGAAUUUCCUGUGUAGCGGUGAAAUGCGUAGAUAUAGGAAGGAACACCAGUGGCGAAGGCGACCACCUGGGCUCAUACUGACACUGAGGUGCGAAAGCGUGAGGAGCAAACAGG
rnacentral:rRNA from 1 species